rnacentral:piRNA from 1 species
UAAGAUGACGAAAUGCCAGCUGACAUGA